rnacentral:rRNA from 1 species
CGAUGAAGCCCUUCGGGGUGGAUUAGUGGCGAACGGGUGAGUAACACGUGGGCAAUCUGCCCUUCACUCUGGGACAAGCCCUGGAAACGGGGUCUAAUACCGGAUACCACUCCUGCCUGCAUGGGCGGGGGUUGAAAGCUCCGGCGGUGAAGGAUGAGCCCGCGGCCUAUCAGCUUGUUGGUGGGGUAAUGGCCCACCAAGGCGACGACGGGUAGCCGGCCUGAGAGGGCGACCGGCCACACUGGGACUGAGACACGGCCCAGACUCCUACGGGAGGCAGCAGUGGGGAAUAUUGCACAAUGGGCGAAAGCCUGAUGCAGCGACGCCGCGUGAGGGAUGACGGCCUUCGGGUUGUAAACCUCUUUCAGCAGGGAAGAAGCGAAAGUGACGGUACCUGCAGAAGAAGCGCCGGCUAACUACGUGCCAGCAGCCGCGGUAAUACGUAGGGCGCAAGCGUUGUCCGGAAUUAUUGGGCGUAAAGAGCUCGUAGGCGGCUUGUCACGUCGGAUGUGAAAGCCCGAGGCUUAACCUCGGGUCUGCAUUCGAUACGGGCUAGCUAGAGUGUGGUAGGGGAGAUCGGAAUUCCUGGUGUAGCGGUGAAAUGCGCAGAUAUCAGGAGGAACACCGGUGGCGAAGGCGGAUCUCUGGGCCAUUACUGACGCUGAGGAGCGAAAGCGUGGGGAGCGAACAGGAUUAGAUACCCUGGUAGUCCACGCCGUAAACGUUGGGAACUAGGUGUUGGCGACAUUCCACGUCGUCGGUGCCGCAGCUAACGCAUUAAGUUCCCCGCCUGGGGAGUACGGCCGCAAGGCUAAAACUCAAAGGAAUUGAC